CGCAACGAGAACAAGUCACAGAUUCAAAACACAGAUUGAGCAGAGGCGGCGGGCGAGCCCUGCCCCGUGUUCGCAGCAUCCCCAGCGCCGGGGGACCCCCAGCAUCCCCGGCAUCCCGGGACCCCAGCCUCCUCAGUAUCCCCAGCAUCCCGUCCCGGGACCGCAGGAGGCGGCUCUCCCCGCGCUGUCGGGACCGGGGCUGGGACAGAGCCCGGGGCGACGGAAACCUCCCCGGGACUAGAAAUAACUUGUUGUGGAAAACUCUUUCGGGAUAAAUACGCCCAACGGCGCUGAAAAUACCUUAAGACCCAAGCCUCGAGGUUUGCUCAUUUCCCUUCGGAUUUAGCAGCUGCCCGAGGGCACCGUCAGAGCCAACAGGACACCGGUGGGGCACCAGAGGCACCGGGCCCGAUGGCACCUUCGUGUUCGGAAGGGAGGAGACACCGUAACGGGAGGAAAGACUUGAAGAACAGGAUCUGACAGCAUCUUGUCAGUACCUUCUUUGUGUUUCUCCCUGUGGCCUAGACACGUGCUGUAAAUGUGUGAGACAGUAACCAGCGAGUUUUGAUAGCAAUGUUUUAGAUUGCUGAGGAAACCAAAGCAGAUCAGAAAGCAAUGAUCACUGUGAGCAUGAACUGGAGCAGACGGUGACGGUGAUGCUGAUGGCUGUGGUGAAAAGAGGGAUUCCAGCUUUGGGAAAGAGCAGCCUCAGAACUUACCCCACUGUGAACAGGAGAAGGUUGAAUCGAGCAGAGACAGAACAUAAACUGCAAAAUGGCCUCAGGAACCACAGUUCUCAUAGCGGGAUGCUGGGCAUUUUAGUCACUUAAGCAACAGAAUACAGCUCUAAGAGUAUGCCACACAGCUUCUGGGUUUCACAGUUGUGAAACGAGGUAUUAAUUCCUGGAAAGGGCGGCUGUUAAGCUGUUGUAUCUCGGGGUUGUACCUCAGGCAAUCAGUGUCUGUGCACACGUAGCCAUACGUUUGUCAGCAUGUCUUCUCUGCUCUGAGGCUGAAACUUCAUGCUAUACAGAGGUUAUGCUGAAAGUCUAUUUACUGUGUGCUUUUCAUUCCACCACUCAGAAUCUCUGGUUUGACGGGCUUCUGUGUAAAUGUACUUCACUGACUUUCCUUGUAUGUUGAGCUAGUUUGUAAAACAAACAAACAAAACCAUCAGAGAACUAAAAAAAAAAUCUUGCUGCAAUUAUACUUAUCAAAAUAUUUGAUAGAAUGAAACUGAACUUCAUUAAAUCCAGAAAUCGCUUAGCUGAUACACAGUUAAUCUGCCUCCGCGAUGGCAGUUUCCACAGGCCAUGCCAGGAACUGGAUGGGCGUGGGGAACUUUGCAGCAAGACCAAAGGAAGUGGGGAGCUGCAGAAAUCAGUCACAUAGAAUCUGUCACCCACCUGCUUUGGGAUUUACCUUACUUUGCAUCCAAGCAGGUAAUGCUGCGGAGACCAGAAUUACAUCCAGGAUGUGCUUCUUCCACACAGCCCUCCCCAUGGUUCUUUGAACAUUUGUUCUCUGCUGAGUUGUGCUGUUCCUUUCCGAGGACACAGCCAAGAUAACAGUAAAAGAAAGGCUGAACGGGACCGGCAGAUGCAUUCAGCAAUGUGCUUCCAUGCUUGGGUACUCUGAAACAACUACUCUGCUGCUUGUGGGCAGCGAGAUGGGUAACACAUGUGCCGGCCAUCAGUACUGACUGCUGUACGGAUGCUUUUUCAUUAAGAGAACAGCUACAAACAUGGCUAGAAAAGAGGUCUUAAGGAUUGUUUAAUUACGUGAUGGCAGUAAUCACUGCCAUUAAGAAUAUUGUGGACUAGAAUGCAUCUGUGAGGGCGAGUGAGUGUUCAUAUGACAGCAGUAAAAUACCUGUUCUGUUUGAGACACUAGGGCUGUUCUGCAGAUCUAAGUUUUCGGGAGAGCAUGAAAGCAGCACGCUCAGUUCAGCUCUUACUGCUUUGGUAAGUCGCACCUCUUCAGCGACAGGACCAGGUGCUCAUCUCCGAGGCAGUUCUGCCACACACAGCUAUAGGAGCGCUGAACUUAAAUAUUUUCAUUGCACUGACCAUGCCUUCAUUAGAACUGUAGACGUGG